GACGAACGCUGGCGGCGUGCCUAAUACAUGCAAGUUGAGCGCUGAAGGUUGGUACUUGUACCAACUGGAUGAGCAGCUAACGGGUGAGUAACGCGUGGGGAAUCUGCCUUUGAGCGGGGGACAACAUUUGGAAACGAAUGCUAAUACCGCAUAAAAACUUUAAACACAAGUUUUAAGUUUGAAAGAUGCAAUUGCAUCACUCAAAGAUGAUCCCGCGUUGUAUUAGCUAGUUGGUGAGGUAAAGGCUCACCAAGGCGAUGAUACAUAGCCGACCUGAGAGGGUGAUCGGCCACAUUGGGACUGAGACACGGCCCAGACUCCUACGGGAGGCAGCAGUAGGGAAUCUUCGGCAAUGGACGAAAGUCUGACCGAGCAACGCCGCGUGAGUGAAGAAGGUUUUCGGAUCGUAAAACUCUGUUGGUAGAGAAGAACGUUGGUGAGAGUGGAAAGCUCAUCAAGGGACGGUAACAACCAAGAAGAGGACGGCUAACUACGU
rnacentral:rRNA from 1 species